rnacentral:rRNA from 1 species
GCGUUCAGGCCAACCCCGGGGGCGGCCUUAACCCUUCCAUUUCGAAGGGACCAAGGGGACCUUUUCCUAAGGUAAGGGGCGAAGGGUUGAUUAACACGGGGGUACCCGCCCGUUAAGACUGGAAUAAUUCCGGGAAACGGGGGUUAAUACGGGAUGCUUGAUUGACCCGCAUGGUUCAAUCAUAAAAGGUGGCUUCAGCUACCACUUACAGACGGACUCGCGGCGCAUUAGCUAGUUGGUGAGGUAACGGCUCACCAAGGCGACGAUGCGUAGCCGACCUGAGAGGGUGAUCGGCCACACUGGGACUGAGACACGGCCCAGACUCCUACGGGAGGCAGCAGUAGGGAAUCUUCCGCAAUGGACGAAAGUCUGACGGAGCAACGCCGCGUGAGUGAUGAAGGUUUUCGGAUCGUAAAACUCUGUUGUUAGGGAAGAACAAGUACCGUUCGAAUAGGGCGGUACCUUGACGGUACCUAACCAGAAAGCCACGGCUAACUACGUGCCAGCAGCCGCGGUAAUACGUAGGUGGCAAGCGUUGUCCGGAAUUAUUGGGCGUAAAGCGCGCGCAGGCGGUUUCUUAAGUCUGAUGUGAAAGCCCCCGGCUCAACCGGGGAGGGUCAUUGGAAACUGGGGAACUUGAGUGCAGAAGAGGAGAGUGGAAUUCCACGUGUAGCGGUGAAAUGCGUAGAGAUGUGGAGGAACACCAGUGGCGAAGGCGACUCUCUGGUCU